GGGCGGGUAGUCUAGCUGGUUAUGACGCCACACAAAGACCGUGGAGGUCCCAGGUUCAAAUCCUGGCCCGCCCACCA
rnacentral:tRNA from 1 species